GUAAAAGCUUUGAUAAGGAAAAGUAAAUUGGGUAAGUAUUAUAUAGAGAGCCUCUGUUGGUGGAAAUGAGGUAAAUGCCCCCUUUUGAAAAUGACCUUUGAGCUUCGUACCGAAAGCAAGUUUGCGAGUAGAUUACGACGAGAUGGGCACUCGUUACAACAGCGGCAGUAUCUUUCAUUCCUUUUAAGAUGGAACGUACUGAUGGAGGCAAAUAGUGUGAGCUAUUUGUAAAUAUAGGUGGUAACACGGGUAUACUCGUCCUAAUC
rnacentral:ncRNA from 1 species